CGGCCGGGGCCGGGUAGGCUGACUCUUCCUCGGCCCUGAGAUCCUUGGGGAGCAACCCAGGUGGGGACCUGGCCAAGAGCCGAGGACGGAAUUCAGGGCCUUGUGCAUGCUAGGUGUGAGCUGUCCCCACCACAGCGCUUAGUUGCAGAAGAGGAAGUGAGGUCCACGGAACUUGAGAGCCAUCCAUGCCAUGCAGGGUGCUGCCUCCUGGGUCCUGGUCCUGCUGGUGAGCUCUGUCCCCUGGGGAGAGUUCGGGCCAGGGCUUGGAGGAGCAGGGCCUGGAGAGCCUCAGUGUAGAGGCAGAAGGGAACCAGGCGCCCAGCACGGACAGAGAAAAGAGCUCACAUGUCAUGCAAUGUUUUGAAAACUCCAGUGGGCAAAGCGUGGCCAUGACCACCUGCCUGUUGUACAGUGUGGCCUUAUUAGGAUGCUGUAGACUCACCCAUGCUGCCGACAACACAUCUGCCAACCAGGCGGGGAGCAGCCCCAGAGCAGCCCUUUCUUCCUCCAGGGCCGCACUGGUCAGAACCUCCAGAGAACAGCCAAAAGCAGUGGGCGUCUGAUGUUAAGGAAUUUGCUUACCAAUCAUGAGGCUGGGCAAGUCCAGACUCCAUGAGGGGCUGGCAGGCUGGGGACCAAAAGGCGAGCUGCAGGUCAAGUCCAAAGGCAGUGCCAGCAGAAGUCCUCUUCUUCGGGGGAGUCUGUCUUUUUCCAUGAAGUCCUUCAGGUGAUGAGACGGGGCGCACCCACUUUAUGGCGGUGGUCUACACUACUCAAAGCCUCUUGGUUUAAAGCUUAAUCUCAUCUUUAAAAAAAUACCUUCACAGAAACAUCUAGAACAGUAUUUGAUAAAAUAUCUAGGUACAGGGUUCCAGCCAAGUCGACACAGAAAAUUAACCAUCAUCAUACCUUCUACUAUUGCUGAAUUCCUGACUGCUCUUGUCGCUUCCACUUGGAGACACCUGUUUUCUCCCUGGCAGGAGAAGGGAAGCAUGCAUCUGGGGAGAAGAGAUGAUGUUCUGCGUAUCUUUACAUCCUCUUGGAGGUUCUAGAGUAAUAUUUUGGACAAAAUAGAUACUGAAUACUAUGUGGGUAGCUAUUAAUCUGGCUACUUUUCUUUGGCUUUUAUUUCUCCAGGUAAAAAAAUCAGUAGAACUCUGCGAUGAAAUUUGGUUACUGUUAUGGCUUGUGGCUAGAGGUCCCCCAAAGCCUCCUGUGCCCACAGGUGGGAUUAAGUGUGAUACUGGGAUUAAGGGUGUGCGAUUAGUAAAUGAGUCCACUGAAUGGUCUGGCAUAGUUCUGAGUGUAGACAAUGGCAAGGCCCACCCUAGGUGUGACUGCUCCCUACCCUAAGGGUGUGUGGCCUGGAUAGAAUAUAAGGGACUGAAAGAGGCUGCUGCAGUCACUUGCUGCCUGCCCUGCCAUGGACUGUUUCUUCUCUGCAGUGCCCCUGCCAUGCCGCCCGCCUUAGAGCCAGCCAAUUAUGGACUGAAUCUCUACACACUGUGAGCUAAGCAAACCUUUCCUCCCUUCACUUUGGGUGUCAGGUAUUCUGUCUCAAUAAUCAGAAAUCCAAGGACAAAGUAUUUUAAGUGUAAAUACCAGAAAAAUAGUCCAUUCAAGAACAUGCCUUUUCUUCCAGCUCAGGCCUUUAUGUUGGCCUCUAGCCUCCUGACCUUUGGGAGAACCCAGCACAUGAGGAAUCUGAGGCCCAGGAAGUCUUUCUUUGUGGAAUGUAGGAAUUAUUCCUUUUGCAAUUUCUCUCCUCUAAGUCUUAAUCCUAAUAAUAAAGUGAUUUAUCAGAUUAAGACACUAAUUAAUCCUGUCUGAACAACUUGAUG
ensembl:lncRNA